rnacentral:rRNA from 1 species
GUCCUUUAGAUUAAUUAUUUAAGGUCUAGCCUGCCCACUGAAAAAUUUUAAAUGGCCGCAGUAAAUUGACUGUGCAAAGGUAGCAUAAUCAUUAGUUUUUUAAUUAAAAGCUUGUAUGAAUGGUUUGACGAAAUAAAAUCUGUCUCUAAAUAAUAUAAAGAAUUUAAUUUUUAAGUUAAAAAGCUUAAAUUUAAAUAAAAGACGAGAAGACCCUAUAGAUUUUUAUAUUAAAUUUAAUAAUUAUAUUUAAGAUUUUUUAAAUAAUUAUUAGUUUUAUUAUUAUAUUGGGGUAAUAGAAAGAUUUAAAAAAUUCUUUUUUUUUGUAUACAUUAAUUAUUGUUUAAAUGAUCCUUUAUUAAAGAUAAUAAGAUUAAGUUACCUUAGGGAUAACAGCGUAAUUUUUUUAAAGAGUUCAUAUCGAUAAAAAAGUUUGCGACCUCGAUGUUGGAUUAAAAAUUAUUUUAGGUGUAGAAGCUUAAAGAUUUGGUCUGUUCGACCAUUAGAUUUUUACAUGAUCUGAGUUCAGACCGGUGUAAGCCAGGUCGGUUUCUAUCUUUAUUAAUUUAUUAUAUUUUAGUACGAAAGGACCAAAUAUAAAAUAUAUUAAUAUUUAAUUUUUGAAUAU